CAAAAUUGCCGUUCAUCUCAAACAAUCAACAUCUUUACAUGCAAAUGCCAUCAAAAGGACUUUUUCAAAGCUUGUAAUGAGGUUGGGCUAACAAGAAGAAUUGGUUUUUCUGGAAUGCAAAGUCCUUGAGUCAAGAGAGCUAUCAAAGUAUUUAACAUUUAAGCACAACUCUCCUCCUCACCAAUCUCACUUAUCCCCAACUUUUUCCCUUUUCUUUUUCUUUUGCAUUGAACCCAUCUUCAUGCUUUUCUUCUUUUCUUUUCUUUUUCUCAUGAAUUUUUCUUUUCACAACAUUUGAGCUCAAUGCUUUUUCACUUGCCUUUCACUUUCCCCCAUAAAACCCCAAACUCGAACCUUUUUAUCACAAACAAUUAAACUCAUCCCAACUCAAGGUAAAGAAUUUUAAGACAAGGUUUCACAUCCAGUUUAAGGCUAAGGUUCAAAAAGGGUAUAAUAUUU
rnacentral:lncRNA from 1 species